CGUUUCUACCCUGCAUACAGAAUCCAUUUUUUGUCCAAAUAAGGAGCAAACCUUAUACAAAUUCGAUAAAAAUAAAAUAAAAGGAAAAUCAAAUGACCAACAAAUUCAAGUUUGCAGAAUCAAUUCUGGCCUAAACUACAUCGUACGGGUUUGGCUCAUCUUCAAUAUUCACCACACUGAUUAAUAUGAAGCGAUCAGAAAUUGUAGAAAGCAUCGAUUGAAUCCCAUGUAGAAAGCCGCCCA
rnacentral:lncRNA from 1 species